UUUUUCUGCUGCGCGGCGAGGCGCUGCGCGAGCUCUGCCACCGUCAGAGCGGCGUCGAGCCGCACCGCCAUCGGCAGCACGUUCAGCACCGGGCCGGUGGAGG
rnacentral:tRNA from 1 species